CUCCCUCGCUCGUUCCUCAUCCCCUCCUCCCGCAGCCGCCCCAAUCCGGCGACGGCUACGACGGUGGCUGCGGCGGCUCCCGCGCUGCGUUCUUCCUCCCCCAGCACGUCUCCUCUCCUCCCACGCCGGAUCUGAACGAGCCACCGUGGUCAGGCAGCAGAGCCCCUUUCUUCGCACUCUUUUCCCUCGAUCUGCCGUGACCACCCUCCUCCUCCCCAUCCUCUCCCAUGGCCACCCUCCUCCUCCGCGUCCUCUCGUUCUCCUCUCCGACAUUCGUUGACGAGGCGUCAGAACUGACGGAGCAGUGGCGCCGUCGAGCGGGGGUACGGGCACGAUGCAGACCCUAGCCGUGUGUCCGUAGGGUUCAUCAUCGUGCGGCCGUCGUCCUCGUGUUUGUGUGCGUGCAGGAAACCAACAGUCUUCGAUGUAGUGAGAGCUGGCUGUCUUGUCUGCUGGAUGAGGAGCAAGCCGUAGCUGCAAGUCGCUGAGCAUGGUGGUGCUAUUGUGAGGAUCUAUGUCUCUCUCACUCUAUAAAAUGUCCGUGGAUGCAUUGUUAGGUGACAAGUUGCUGUGGGUUGUACGAUUUCCAUCUCUCAUCAGUUGAAAUUUUCACCUGGAAUACCGGUGGCAUACGUGUUGUUAAAUUUGGUCAGGCAGCUUGGAAGCAGAUACAAAUAAGAAAUGUUCCCUUGCUUUGGUUGGAUGGGUGUAGAAGCAGCAAGCAUCGCCGCCACACGGAAAACUCCAGUAACUUCUUGUCCCUUCCAGCCUCGGAUCACGAACGACUUCAAGCUGAAGAUGUUGAACCAUGCGAUGCAAGAAUUAUUAUUUUGGGCUCCUAUGGAAGGUAUUAUUCUCGUGCAAAACCCUAUUCUCCCGUCUUUCUUGAUCUAUUAGGGUCAUAAAUCUGGAAUCGUGGUUUACUAUUUGAAAGUCCAUGGUCAGUCUUAGCCUCAUUCUCUUGAUUAACAGCAGAUUUAUGCUCUUCCUGUUGUAUUCAGUCAAGGAACGUACAUAGAUAUUGGAAGCUAUACACUAUAAUGGAAUUUCUUCUGCUCUCACUCAUGUAAUUGCUGUCAAGAACACUGUCAGUUCAGCGGUUGUCAUCAUGCAAGCAAUUGGCCGCUGAUCUGCUUGCUCUUUGUACUACUAAAGGUAAAUUUUGAACAAUUUUUACUGCCAUUGUUGCAAGGAAAGUUGGUGACGCUGGCGUGUCUCAGUAGAUGCAAAAUAAUAUAUGGUGGCGUAGAAUGAACCUAUACUUUCCAUAGUGUAUUUGACUUCUAUUCAUACCUGUGUACAACCAUAUGAACCUAUAUAUGCUAUCUGAAUUUAGUGGCGGUUUAUUUCAAUUUGUCACUUGGUCAGUAAGUUCGCACCAACGAGAUUGCAUAUGUGGUCUAUUGAAGUUGCAGAUAUAAGUUCAUUGCAUCAAAAAGUUUCAUUUCUUCACUUUUAUGUAGUGAUGCCAAUAAUGUUUCAAUUUAAAAAAAAAUCGACUACAUAUGUGAGUGUGAAUAUAUAGGUAGUGCAAUUAAGUACUCUCAAGAUAUUAAUUUCUAUCUUUUCUGCACUAAUUGUUUAUUCCUUGUUUUGUUUGUACUGUUGCUUUGCCACUGACCCGUAAAAUUGGAUGUUCUUUCAAGAAGAGUCUCUCUUUUCUACACUAAUUGACUUUUUCCCUCCCACCCGGGUAUGAAGGGCAGUGUUUUUUCCCUCCCAGUAAAUUACACUAUUUUCAGGUGGCAUCAUACGGCGAAGCAGGGGAUAUGGAUCAGAAGCCGCAAUGGUGCGCGUGACGACAUGUCUAACACUUGCCUGACCCUGGACUCUGGCUUCUUCUUGCAAGUUGACCAUAGUAUUGUGAGAAUCUCGGCCAGGAUCAUUCUUUAUAUCAUGUUGGAUCAUCUUGGAAUUUGUAGAGUAAUUUAUCGUCUAAGGAUGUACUCACAGAACACAAUCAGUGUGGUUGUGCUUUUCUACACUUCUGUCCAGAGCAAUGGGAUAUGUAUUCUGUACUGUACGGCUACCCUCUAAUGCAUUUCUCAGACUUCAGUCUGUCUCUUUCUGCACAAAUGACUUGGUCUAAUUAUUAUGAAAUACC